AUAAUAUGAUGUAAUUAAGGAGUCCAGUUGGGUGACUCUUUCAAUCCAAGUUCCUUCAUUAUUUUUGAGUUUCAUGAUACAGUUUGCUUGUUGUUUUCGUCUAAUAACUUUGUGGAAGAAGCUAGAAUUUGUAUCACCAUCACGUAACCAGAACUGCUUAGCUCGUUGCCUCCAAUAGUUGUUUUGGUGCUGGAUAAUACGCA